rnacentral:rRNA from 1 species
AGAACGAACGCUGGCGGCAGGCCUAACACAUGCAAGUCGAACGCUCGUAGCAAUACGGGAGUGGCAGACGGGUGAGUAACGCGUGGGAACGUACCCUUCGGUUCGGAAUAACCCGGGGAAACUCGGGCUAAUACCGGAUACGUCCGCAAGGAGAAAGAUUUAUCGCCGAAGGAUCGGCCCGCGUCCGAUUAGCUAGUUGGUGGGGUAAUGGCCCACCAAGGCGACGAUCGGUAGCUGGUCUGAGAGGAUGAUCAGCCACACUGGGACUGAGACACGGCCCAGACUCCUACGGGAGGCAGCAGUGGGGAAUAUUGGACAAUGGGCGCAAGCCUGAUCCAGCCAUGCCGCGUGAGUGAAGAAGGCCCUAGGGUUGUAAAGCUCUUUCAGCGGGGAAGAUAAUGACGGUACCCGCAGAAGAAGCCCCGGCUAACUUCGUGCCAGCAGCCGC